AACGAUGGGGGGACGCAGAAAGGUAGGGUGAGCGCGCCGCUGGCUGUGCGCGUCGAAGCAUGCAAGGCUGGAACAUAGGCAAAUCCGUGUUCCAUAAGGCUGAGCUGUGACCGUGAAGGACCUUCGGGUCCGAAAUCCCUGAUCCUCCGCUGCCGAGAAAAGCCUCUAGUGAGAAUACAGGUGCCCGUACCGCAAACCGACACAGGUAGGCGAGAAGAGAAUUCUAAGACGCUCGGGAGAACUCUCGUUAAGGAACUCGGCAAAAUGACCCCGUAACUUCGGGAGAAGGGGUGCUC
rnacentral:rRNA from 1 species